UACAGAGGUCUCAAGCGUUGUUCGGAUUCAUUGGGCGUAAAGCGCGCGUAGGCGGAUCAGGAAGUUGGGGGUGAAAUCCCGGGGCUCAACCCCGGAAUGGCCUUCAAAACUCCUGGUCUUGAGUUCGAGAGAGGUGAGUGGAAUUCCGAGUGUAGAGGUGAAAUUCGUAGAUAUUCGGAGGAACACCAGUGGCGAAGGCGGCUCACUGGCUCGACACUGACGCUGAGGUGCGAAAGCGUGGGGAGCAAACAGG
rnacentral:rRNA from 1 species